CUCUGCGACAGAGUCCCGGGCAAGGCAGGGCCUCCGCUUCCCCGCUGCACGUGUCCCGCAUGGUCACACGAGAGCCGUUCCCGAGAGGGACUGGCUGACUGAUCACAGGCCCUGGGCUAGUGAUUCCACCAGCUUUGAUAUAAAAUAAUAUUUAUGGAACAGCCUAGGCUUUGAGUUGGACGUGAAACAUGAGGGGCAUGAAUGUUUCAUCUCGCUCGUUAGGCAGAGCGCCCGCCAUCCAUAAAGCAGGCCCUCGGCUCCAGGCGCCGUUCAUCACAUGAUGCUGGGAUUGUCUGGACACCAGCGGUGAGCCCCCUCUGCGAGUGAUGCGUAAAGAGCACCUUUGUAACUGGGCAACGCAGAAGCACAUCGCUGCUCCCAUCCUCAGAGAGGUGGGGGGCCUUGAAACAGAGCCGGAGGUUGAGGGUCCCUGCGGCACAGGGUGGGUCGGUCCUGGGCCCCCACGUACCCCGUCUCUGCACAUCUGGCCCUGGGAGCCCAGGGCCGCGGGGAGGUGUUGGGACUGAAUUGCCCAGACUCUGCAAAGACACCGGACACAGUCACUGAAGCACCACCCGCAGGUGACGGGGGAUCUCAUCUCCCCUGGGGCCUUCAGGACCCUGUAGUCCUGACUGCAGAGCGGCUGAUGGAACGUGAUUCCCCAGAGUCGGAGGACUACAGGUCCUGUCCGGAAGGAGGGGGCGCUGUGCCAACAGCCUGUACAGGCCCCUGGCUCCCACCCCUGGUGCCAGGCAGGUUCCUCUGAGGUGGGCUCUCCCCGGGGCAAUGAGAGCCCAGCCUCACGCCCCAGUGGAAGGGGUCACCUUGGGGACCAGGCUUCACAGAAAAGGCAUCUGUUUCUCAGCAGCAGCAGAGGCCACCAGGGAGCUCCCAUCUACAGAAUGAUACCCACGUUUCCUCCAGUCCUGAGAUCCUUAUGGGGUGACGUUUCCUUCAAGCAUCUUGAAAGUGGGUGUGACUUAAGAACAGCUCUUGGAGUUCCCACUGCAGCACAGUGGGUGAAGAAUCCAACUGCUGUGGCUCAGGGUGCUGCAAGGCA
rnacentral:lncRNA from 1 species